UACGUAGGUGACCAGCGUUGUCCGGAUUUACUGGGCGUAAAGAGCGCGUAGGCGGUCUGUUAAGUGCACGAGUGAAAUCCCGGGGCUCACCUCCGGAACUGCUCUGCAUACUGGCAGACUUGAGGGUCGGAGAGGUUUGUGGAAUUCCUGGUGUAGCGGUGAAAUGCGUUGAUAUCAGGAGGAACACCGGUGGCGAAGGCGGAUCUCUGGGCCGAUACUGACGCUGAGGAGCGGAAAGCGUGGGGAGCGAACAGG
rnacentral:rRNA from 1 species